UACGUAGGUGGCAAGCGUUGUCCGGAGUUAUUGGGCGUAAAGCGCGCGCAGGCGGUGCGGUAAGUCUCUGGUGAAAGCGCUCGGCUUAACUGGGCGAGGGCCGGGGAGGCUGCCACGCUGGAGGGGAGCAGAGGCGAGUGGAAUUCCGGGUGUAGUGGUGAAAUGCGUAGAGAUCCGGAGGAACACCAGUGGCGAAGGCGGCUCGCUGGGCUCUACCUGACGCUGAGGCGCGAAAGCGUGGGGAGCGAACCGG
rnacentral:rRNA from 1 species